rnacentral:rRNA from 1 species
GUGGGGAAUAUUGGACAAUGGGCGCAAGCCUGAUCCAGCCAUGCCGCGUGAGUGAUGAAGGCCUUAGGGUUGUAAAGCUCUUUCAGUGGGUACGAUAAUGACGGUACCCACAGAAGAAGCCCCGGCUAACUUCGUGCCAGCAGCCGCGGUAAUACGGAGGGGGCUAGCGUUGUUCGGAAUUACUGGGCGUAAAGCGCACGUAGGCGGACCAGAAAGUCAGAGGUGAAAGCCCGGGGCUCAACCCCGGAACUGCCUUUGAAACUCCUGGUCUUGAGGUCGAGAGAGGUGGGUGGAAUUCCGAGUGUAGAGGUGAAAUUCGUAGAUAUUCGGAGGAACACCAGUGGCGAAGGCGGCCCACUGGCUCGAUACUGACGCUGAGGUGCGAAAGCGUGGGGAGCAAACAGGAUUAGAUACCCGGGUAGUCC